rnacentral:rRNA from 1 species
CUAAUAAGGAGGGGGAUAACUACGGGAAACUGUAGCUAAUACCGCGUAAAGUAGAGAUACCAAAGGUGUGGGACAGAGAUGCCACAUGCUUAUAGAUGAACCCAAGUGAGAUUAGGUAGUUGGUAAGGUAAGGGCUUACCAAGCCGACGAUCUCUAGCUGGUCUGAGAGGAUGACCAGCCACACUGGAACUGAGAGACGGUCCAG